rnacentral:rRNA from 1 species
CGCGUGGGAAUAUGCCCUUCUCUACGGAAUAGCCCUGGGAAACUGGGAGUAAUACCGUAUACGCCCUACGGGGGAAAGAUUUAUCGGAGAAGGAUUAGCCCGCGUUGGAUUAGGUAGUUGGGGGGGUAAUGGCCUACCAAGCCUACGAUCCAUAGCUGGUUUGAGAGGAUGAUCAGCCACACUGGGACUGAGACACAGCCCAGACUCCUACGGGAGGCAGCAGUGGGGAAUCUUAGACAAUGGGGGAAACCCUGAUCUAGCCAUGCCGCGUGAGUGAUGAAGGCCUUAGGGUUGUAAAGCUCUUUCAGCUGGGAAGAUAAUGACGGUACCAGCAGAAGAAGCCCCGGCUAACUCCGUG